GCUGGGGUGGCAGAGCGGUCAAUUGCACCUGACUGUAAAUCAGGCGCCUAAUGGCUACGGGGGUUCGAAUCCCUCCCCCAG
rnacentral:tRNA from 1 species